rnacentral:lncRNA from 1 species
GUUGAUGCAACAAAACUAGUAUGAUACAUAAUGUAUUCAAUGUCAUAUGUUCUUUGUUUGUGUAUAUAUCUAAUGUACCAUCUGUUAUAUUUGAGAAAAAAAUGCAUAAUGUGGAAUGGAUACAAGACUAUAGUGAGUUUGAAUAGUUUGUAUGACACUUAAAGUUAUGCUUCUGUUGCAGAAAUAGUUAGGCAGUUUGACUUCAUUAGGUUAGAGCACUUCGAGUGAGAGAAAGUAAAUUGUUG